UCUCUUUCCCAGGAGACUUCCUUGGGUUUAUAAAUGACUGCAUUUCCCUUCGGCAUGACAGCUGCAGCUUCACCUCUUCUCGUGUGAACCUGGAGUCAGCCCUGCACUCUCCUCCUGAGUCUUUGGUGCUCUGUAAUUUUCAGUUUUCCCUGAUGUAAAAUAGAGG
rnacentral:lncRNA from 12 species